rnacentral:sRNA from 1 species
GGCAGAUGCGGUCAACGUCCGUCAGCGAGGGUUCGCUCACGGGCGCGUUUGCG